rnacentral:rRNA from 1 species
GAUGAACGCUGGCGGCGUGCCUAAUACAUGCAAGUCGAGCGAACGGACGAGAAGCUUGCUUCUCUGAUGUUAGCGGCGGACGGGUGAGUAACACGUGGAUAACCUACCUAUAAGACUGGGAUAACUUCGGGAAACCGGAGCUAAUACCGGAUAAUAUUUUGAACCGCAUGGUUCAAAAGUGAAAGACGGUCUUGCUGUCACUUAUAGAUGGAUCCGCGCUGCAUUAGCUAGUUGGUAAGGUAACGGCUUACCAAGGCAACGAUGCAUAGCCGACCUGAGAGGGUGAUCGGCCACACUGGAACUGAGACACGGUCCAGACUCCUACGGGAGGCAGCAGUAGGGAAUCUUCCGCAAUGGGCGAAAGCCUGACGGAGCAACGCCGCGUGAGUGAUGAAGGUCUUCGGAUCGUAAAACUCUGUUAUUAGGGAAGAACAUAUGUGUAAGUAACUGUGCACAUCUUGACGGUACCGAAUCAGAAAGCCACGGCUAACUACGUGCCAGCAGCCGCGGUAAUACGUAGGUGGCAAGCGUUAUCCGGAAUUAUUGGGCGUAAAGCGCGCGUAGGCGGUUUUUUAAGUCUGAUGUGAAAGCCCACGGCUCAACCGUGGAGGGUCAUUGGAAACUGGAAAACUUGAGUGCAGAAGAGGAAAGUGGAAUUCCAUGUGUAGCGGUGAAAUGCGUAGAGAUAUGGAGGAACACCAGUGGCGAAGGCGACUUUCUGGUCUGUAACUGACGCUGAUGUGCGAAAGCGUGGGGAUCAAACAGGAUUAGAUACCCUGGUAGUCCACGCCGUAAACGAUGAGUGCUAAGUGUUAGGGGGUUUCCGCCCCUUAGUGCUGCAGCUAACGCAUUAAGCACUCCGCCUGGGGAGUACGACCGCAAGGUUGAAACUCAAAGGAAUUGACGGGGACCCGCACAAGCGGUGGAGCAUGUGGUUUAAUUCGAAGCAACGCGAAGAACCUUACCAAAUCUUGACAUCCUUUGACAACUCUAGAGAUAGAGCUUUCCCCUUCGGGGGACAAAGUGACAGGUGGUGCAUGGUUGUCGUCAGCUCGUGUCGUGAGAUGUUGGGUUAAGUCCCGCAACGAGCGCAACCCUUAAGCUUAGUUGCCAUCAUUAAGUUGGGCACUCUAAGUUGACUGCCGGUGACAAACCGGAGGAAGGUGGGGAUGACGUCAAAUCAUCAUGCCCCUUAUGAUUUGGGCUACACACGUGCUACAAUGGACAAUACAAAGGGCAGCGAAACCGCGAGGUCAAGCAAAUCCCAUAAAGUUGUUCUCAGUUCGGAUUGUAGUCUGCAACUCGACUACAUGAAGCUGGAAUCGCUAGUAAUCGUAGAUCAGCAUGCUACGGUGAAUACGUUCCCGGGUCU